rnacentral:rRNA from 1 species
UACGUAGGGUCCAAGCGUUAUCCGGAAUCACUGGGCGUAAAGCGUGCGUAGGCGGUUGCUUGCGUGCUAUGCGAAAUCCUGUGGCUCAACCACAUGGACUGUAUGGCAUACGGGGCAACUAGAGGACGGCAGAGGCAAGUGGAAUUACUGGUGUAGCAGUGAAAUGCGUAGAUAUCAGUAGGAACACCAAUGGCGAAGGCAGCUUGCUGGGCCGUAUCUGACGCUAAGGCACGAAAGCGUGGGGAGCGAACAGG